CUGUGUCGAGGAACCUCAUCGAA
rnacentral:siRNA from 1 species